GAUGAAGAACGUAGCGAAACGCGAUAAGUAAUGUGAAUUGCAGAAUUCAGUGAAUCAUCGAAUCUUUGAACGCACAUUGCGCCCGCCAGCAUUCUGGCGGGCAUGCCUGUUCGAGCGUCAUUUCAACCCUCGAGCCCCCCCGGGGGCCUCGGUGUUGGGGGACGGCACACCAGCCGCCCCCGAAAUGCAGUGGCGACCUCGCCGCAGCCUCCCCUGCGUAGUAGCACACACCUCGCACCGGAGCGCGGAGACGGUCACGCCGUAAAACGCCCAACUUCUUAGAGUUGACCUCGGAUCAGGUAGGAAUACCCGCUGAACUUAAGCAUAUCAAUAAGCGGAGGA
rnacentral:misc_RNA from 1 species